UUAGGGGCAGGGCAUCUGCCAUGUUUCCCAGAUGUUGAGGCGUCUAAGGAGUUUUCUACUGACGAGGAUCUUAAUUCCAACAUUCAGGACUCUUUAUUCGUAUAUUAAACAGCCCUUCCCAGAAAAGCUUCUCUACUGUCCUAGACAGAUGAUUUCCCUGUAAACCAUCAAACGUGGUCCCUCGGACAGUCACACUCCUGAGCUUCUUGGGGUUCCUAUGCUGUGCCGUGUUUUCCCCUCUAGCGUGGCAGGAAUUGCCCACAUGACACGUGUCUGCUUGUGUCUGUCUCUCCCAUUAGACUGUCAAGUCCGGGAAACAAGAGCGUCUCCCACUUCUCCUGUUCCCAGCUCGUGGCAAGCCGUGGGGGUGUUGAGUGAAGGAAUGGCUUUGGGCGUGAAACCAAGGGCUAAUCUGAUUAAGCCCAUCAAAUGUAACCUGCCUUGCAUGCUUCUAAUCACUUGCUUCUUGUCAGCUUUUUAACCUAUGUAGCUAAAAGUCACAGAGCCAAAAGCACCUGCCUCAACUCCCUCUAGCUUCCUGAUAGAUAACAUCUCUGACAGUGGGUCACUACAGUAACAGUCACUUAAAGUUGUUUUUUAGGAACUAGGGGGCAGGUCCUGUCCAGAUUAAACCAGUUGAGACCACCAACCUUUCAACUAGGCCUGCAUGAAUGCCUGAGAGGUGACCUUUUGAGAUCACCGGGCCAAAAACUGCCCCCUCAGGGGCACCAUUUUCUGAACAUGCAGCCUAUGAAGAGCCAGGAAGAGCCAUGAAGAGCCAUGAAGCUUGACUAUGCAUGUACACAUGGCCAAUUACCUCGCUUUUCUUCACCCUCAGUCACCUUUCCCCACACCUCAGAUCACCUUGCUUCCUUAUGCCAUAUAUAUCUCUAACCUGACUUUUGGGGAGGCAGAUUUGAGACCUGUUCUCCUGCCUCCUUGCUUCGUAGCCUCAUGGAUCAACCCUUUCUUCUUUGCAAAGCCCAUUGUCACAGUGAUUGGCUUACUGCAUGCAGGCAGAAUGAGCAGGGAGACAGACCUAAUACUGACCCUCCUUGAGUAAGUGGAUGACUGCAGAGCUGGGAUGGAAAUCGAGGCACAGAGAAGGAAUGGCUAAUUUCCCUGCAGCUGGUGUUGUGAGGAGCAUGCCUUGGCAAGUGCUGUGCUCAGCUGUGUUCCAGCCUCAGAUCACCCUGCAGGCACUGGUUCUGCUGGGCCCCUCUGCUGGCUCUCCAGGCCCCUCACCCACAGCCACCUGCUGAGCUUUGCUGGAAUGCUUUCACGUGCGUGAACCAGAUUCAGAGAUGCUGAGGGGAAGAAAGAUGGAGAAGGGACGCCUACAUUACAACUAUGACGACACGUGUUUGUAGGUAUCAAGGCAGGUCUGGGGAAGUUCUGUGCAGAUAUAUUUAACUUUGUCCUUGUAAUUUCAGGGUCCCUAGAUAAAAUGCUUAUAAGAGCCCAGGUCUCAGAGCCAGGGAGCUGGGAGGCCUGUGGUUCCUCUUCCAGAGCAGGCAGCUGGACUUGAACAAGGACAAGGAGCGCAGAAUGUUUUUCCUUAUGUGAGAACGAGAGAGUCCCUGGGAGCUCCCUGUGCCUCGGCUGGCUGGCUGACGUCCGACACACCAGAAAGAUCGCCAGAAAAGCGAUCUGAUGGGCCAACAGAGAGAGCAGGCCCACUUUCAAUGUUAGGGUUUCAAUGUUGAAACCAGAUGUCUCGAGGGCUCACACAUCCACAGAGCAUCCAGCGAUGUGUGUACACACACGGGGUGAUCUCCCAAGGCGCUUCCGUCCACUCACUCCGUGGCUGCCACAGAGGAAGAGCUGUCUGACCCCAACUCAAGAGCUCCUUAUUCUUUCUAUGUGCAAACAAAAUGAAGCAAGGCCCACCUUAGAAACAAAAGGUUUUCUCACAAUGAAAAUGUUGGAUUCUUCUUCCUCUCAGAAAUAAUGUCAUCUAAGGAAAAGUUCAUGAUAAGUUUGCUUUCUUCUUUUAAGGUAACUUUUGCAUACGAUGUUAAUUAAGUAAAAUAUUAGUUGAAUUUUGUGAAAAUAUCAUGAUUCAGUCACUUGCUUUGGUCUUUAGAAUAAGGAUGGAUGAAUAAAUAAAGAGAUAGAGGGAUUGAUGGGUGUGUGGAUGGGUGAAUGGAAGGAUGGGUAAAUAGAAGA
rnacentral:lncRNA from 1 species